UACGUAGGGGGCAAGCGUUGUCCGGAUUUAUUGGGCGUAAAGCGCUCGCAGGUGGUUCGUCGCGUCGUGCGUGAAAGACCCCGGCUCAACUGGGGGAGGUCGUGCGAUACGGGCGGACUGGAGGCCAGUAGGGGGAUGCGGAAUUCCGGGUGUAGUGGUGGAAUGCGUAGAGAUCCGGAGGAACACCAGCGGCGAAGGCGGCAUCCUGGACAGGUCCUGACACUCAUGAGCGAAAGCGUGGGGAGCGAGCCGG
rnacentral:rRNA from 1 species